GGGACCUUAGCUCAACGGUUAGAGCAGCGGACUCAUAAUCCGUUGGUUGGGGGUUCGAAUCCCCCAGGUCCCACUA
rnacentral:tRNA from 1 species